rnacentral:rRNA from 1 species
GGGGUAGGGGCCCACCAAGGCGACGAUCAGUAGCCGGCCUGAGAGGGUGGACGGCCACAUUGGGACUGAGACACGGCCCAAACUCCUACGGGAGGCAGCAG